AUGGUUAGGAGUGUACCGAUUGGUGAGAAGCUCUUCAUAGGAGGAGACCUCAAUGGCCACGUGGGUACAUCUAACACAGGUUUUGAAGGGGCGCAUGGGGGCUUUGGCUAUGGCAUCAGGAAUCAAGAAGGAGAAGAUGUCUUAAGCUUUGCCCUAGCCUACAACAUGAGUGUAGCUAACACCCUCUUUAGAAAGAGAGAAUCACAUCUGGUGACUUUUAGUAGUGGCCAACACUCUAGCCAGAUUGAUUUCAUCCUCUCAAGAAGAGAAGAUAGGCGUGCGUGCCUAGACUGUAAGGUGAUACCUGGAGAGAGUGUUGUACCCCAGCAUAAGCUGGUGGUUGCUGACUUCCGCUUUCGGAUUCGUGUCCAGCGGGAUAAGUGUGCCAAAGUCGCUAGAACAAAGUGGUGGAAGCUCAAGGGGGAGGUAGCUCAGGUGUUCAAGGAGAGGGUAAUUAAGGAGGGCCUUUGGGAGGAAGGAGGGGAUGCGGACAAUGUGUGGAUGAAGAUGGCGACUUGCAUCCGUAAGGUGGCCUAG
rnacentral:rRNA from 1 species